rnacentral:rRNA from 1 species
UACAGAGGCUGCGAGCGUUAUUCGGAUUCACUGGGCGUAAAGGGUGCGCAGGCGGCCGAGUGUGUGAGGCGUGAAAGCCCGUGGCUUAACCCCGGAAUUGCACCUCAAACGACACGGCUAGAGCAUUGGAGAGGGUAGCAGAAUUCAUGGUGUAGCAGUGAAAUGCGUAGAUAUCAUGAGGAAUACCAGAGGCGAAGGCGGCUACCUGGACAAUUGCUGACGCUCAGGCACGAAAGCGUGGGGAGCAAAAGGA